GUUAGAGUGGCAGACCCCGGAGAUUGCAAAAGACCUAAGCCCUUUUAAUGGAGGUUCAAAUCCUCCCCCUAACU
rnacentral:tRNA from 1 species